UGUUAAAAGUUUAAUCUAUUUGUAUUGUUAAAAAUUGACAUUAACGAAAUAACUAAACAAUAACACAUGAUGUGCCACUUGUACCUCGUAUUGAUGGGCAUGAACCGGUUUUUAAUAGUAAAAAUGAAUAAAAUUUUUAAUA
rnacentral:pre_miRNA from 1 species